GAGAGAGAGAGAGAGAGAGACACACACACACACACACACACACACACACAGAGGCUGACGUCCUGCUCAGUGGUUAGUUAGCUGGUCCUUCUCGGCUAUGAUUGACAGAGUCAGAAGAAGAAGAAGAGCUUCACCCGCUCGUUUGUUGUCACCGUAACAGAAGAACAAACUGCGGCAUGGCGAGUGAAGAACGAGCCCCGAGUUCAACAAGAAGAAGACCACCAUGUUUCGGAUUAUUGAGGAUGUUAUUUAUUGCUUUUAUUCAAACCACGCGGGCCAAUAAACAAGCAUUCAUCCAGUCAGACACAAUUCUAGAAGUUUUACAUUUUGGUGAGGGGAGCCUUUUACAGGCGGAGUCUGACAUCGAUUUUAGUUUAUAUCAUCAACAAAGGUGAGUUUAACGUCCUAACCUCAGACACACAUACUGUAUGUUUAUGUACAUGUCGUCAUAGUUAGUGUACUACAUGUAGUAUUUAGUGCUCCACAUACUAGCGCUGUGCUGGGUGUUAAAGCAACAGCGUGAAGGGUUUAGUGACAUCUAGUGGAGAGGUUGCAUAACGACAUAAAAAGUCUCUUUAGAGUCAGUUUGGCUUGUUCGUUGUGGCUUACUGUAGAAACAUGGAACAUGGUGGAAACCACAGAGUGUUUAUAAGAAGUGGAUGUAGUCGUUUGUUGAUGUUUUGAAGCCUCGAGUUCAGCCUUUUGUCCGUC